rnacentral:rRNA from 1 species
UGCGCUAGGGACAAGAAGUCGUCCGGUGGAUGGCUCGGCUCAGGGGCCUAAGAAGGGCGCGGCAAGCGGCGAAAUGCCCAGGGGAGGCGCACGCAGCCUUAGAUCCUGGGAUCCCCGAAUGGGAAUUCCUGCCUGGAGUUAACAGCUCCAGGCGUCCCGUAAGGGACGGGAACCCCCCGAACGGAAGCAUCUUAGUAGGGGGAGGAGGAGAAAUCAAUUGAGAUUCCCUGAGUAGGGGCGACCGAAAGGGGAACAGCCCAAACCAAAUCCGCUAGUGACGAGCUGGCGGAGAUGUGGUGUUUCUGGCCCUGGGUCAGGGGCAACCCAGCCUCCGGUGUCUGGAUAGCCGAAUUC